GACGAACCGUGCGAACGUUGUUCGGAUUCACUGGGCUUAAAGGGCGCGUAGGCGGACAAUCAAGUCAGGGGUGAAAGCCUCCAGCUCAACUGGAGAAGUGCCUUUGAUACUGACUGUCUCGAGGGAGGUAGGGGCAUGUGGAACUUCCGGUGGAGCGGUGAAAUGCGUAGAUAUCGGGAAGAACACCCGUGGCGAAGGCGGCUCUCUGGGACGGUACUGACGCUGAGACGCGAAAGCGUGGGGAGCGAACAGG
rnacentral:rRNA from 1 species